GUUAUCAUUUCUCGUAUCUUAUAAUCUUUCUUACUUUUAAAAUGAGUUACUCUUCUUUUUUUAUUCCCUGUUCUCUUGCAUGCUAGGCAAUAACCACAUCCAAAAAACCCUUUCACUUCAUUUAAAAAGGUAUCAUUCAUUUUUCAGUCUCUAAUAUAACUCAAAGUUAAAGUAUUACGGAGGUUUCCCACUCCUCUAUGAAUAAAACGUGGUUGUUCCGAUAAACUAGUUCCCAGAGAUGGAUCUUGACGUAAAAUGGGCCAAAACUUACUAAUAAUAUUUCUAAUUUUAACAUUUUCCAAGCUGUAAUUGCAGAUGAAAGGUACAUCUUCUAUAUUCUGUUUUACCCUCUCCUUAUACACAAGGAGACCCUCCCGUUCUGUAUCUUUCACUCUCAAUCUAGCUUCUUCUAAUUUAUUUUCUUCAUACCCUUUUUCUAAAAGUCAUUCUUAAGUUUUGUAGAUUGAUCCUCAUAAUUAUCUAAAUCCGUACAAUUAUGCCUAAUGCGCAAAAAUUGGCCCCUAGGUGCAUUUUUCAGCCAAGGGGUAAAAUGGCAGCUUUCUCUGCUAAUAAAACUGUUUACAUCUACUGUUUUAAAUUUAUUUUUUUUAAAUCACUCCAUCUUCUAUAAAAAUAGUUACAUCUAAAAAAGCUGUUUCUAGAUUACUCCAUGUGCUAGUUAAUUGUAUACCCCAAGUAUUAGAAUUUAAAAAAGUUAGAAAUUCUUGCAAAGACUCCUCUCCUCCUUUCCAAAUAAAGAAAAUAUCAUCG